ACCUAAUGAUGUGGGCAUUUACGGAGCUGGUCCCUAAAGCAGUCCCAGGUUUCAAAGAAAAGUUCUCCAUCCAUUUUUGCGAAACUUGUGAUUGCCCUCUGUAGCU